GGAAGGGCUUUAGCUCAGUGGCAGAGCAUUCGCUUUGCAUGCAGAAUGUCCCGGGUUCCAUCCCCAAUGGCAUCUGUCCA